AAAAGGCUCCUUGGAUCUGUGACAC
rnacentral:piRNA from 1 species